UACGUAGGGGGCUAGCGUUGUCCGGAAUCAUUGGGCGUAAAGCGCGCGUAGGCGGCCAGAUAAGUCCGGUGUGAAAGUCACAGGCUCAACCUGUGAAUGCCGCUGGAAACUGUCUGGCUAGAGUUCGGUAGGGGAGACUGGAAUCCUGGUGUAGCGGUGUAAAUGCGCAGAUAUCAGGAGGAACACCGGUGGCGAAGGCGGGUCUCUGGGCCGAGUACUGACGCUGGAGGAGCGAA
rnacentral:rRNA from 1 species